rnacentral:rRNA from 1 species
AUUCGAUGCACGCGAAGAACCUUACCUACACUUGACAUACAGAGAACUUACCAGAGAUGGUUUGGUGCCUUCGGGAACUCUGAUACAGGUGCUGCAUGGCUGUCGUCAGCUCGUGUUGUGAGAUGUUGGGUUAAGUCCCGCAACGAGCGCAACCCCUAUCCUUAGUUGCCAGCGAUUCGGUCGGGAACUCUAAGGAGACUGCCGGUGCUAA